AGUGAACGCUGGCGGUAGGCCUAACACAUGCAAGUCGAACGGCAGCACAGUAAGAGCUUGCUCUUACGGGUGGCGAGUGGCGGACGGGUGAGGAAUACAUCGGAAUCUACUUUUUCGUGGGGGAUAACGUAGGGAAACUUACGCUAAUACCGCAUACGCCCUACGGGUGAAAGCAGGGGAUCUUCGGACCUUGCGCGAUUGAAUGAGCCGAUGUCGGAUUAGCUAGUUGGCGGGGUAAAGGCCCGCCAAGGCGACGAUCCGUAGCUGGUCUGAGAGGAUGAUCAGCCACACUGGAACUGAGACACGGUCCAGACUCCUACGGGAGGCAGCAGUGGGGAAUAUUGGACAAUGGGCGCAAGCCUGAUCCAGCCAUACCGCGUGGGUGAAGAAGGCCUUCGGGUUUUAAAGCCCUUUUGUUGGGAAAGAAAAGCAGCAGGUUAAUACCCCGCUGUUCUGACGGUACCCAAAGAAUAAGCACCGGCUAACUUCGUG
rnacentral:rRNA from 1 species